rnacentral:rRNA from 1 species
AUUGAACGCUGGCGGCAUGCUUUACACAUGCCAGUCGAACGGCAGCGCGGGCUUCGGCCUGGCGGCGAGUGGCGAACGGGUGAGUAAUGCAUCGGAACGUGCCCAGUAGUGGGGGAUAGCCCGGCGAAAGCCGGAUUAAUACCGCAUACGACCUUAGGGUGAAAGCGGGGGACCGAAAGGCCUCGCGCUAUUGGAGCGGCCGAUGUCGGAUUAGCUAGUUGGUGGGGUAAAGGCUUACCAAGGCGACGAUCCGUAGCUGGUCUGAGAGGACGACCAGCCACACUGGGACUGAGACACGGCCCAGACUCCUACGGGAGGCAGCAGUGGGGAAUUUUGGACAAUGGGGGCAACCCUGAUCCAGCCAUGCCGCGUGCGGGAAGAAGGCCUUCGGGUUGUAAACCGCUUUUGUUCGGGAAGAAAUCCUCUGGGCUAAUACCCCGGGGGGAUGACGGUACCGGAAGAAUAAGCACCGGCUAACUACGUG